rnacentral:lncRNA from 14 species
AAUUUUUUAAGAAUUCUCUCCCAAAAUAUGCUGCCUUAUGUUCAGCAGAGGUUUCAUUGUGUUUUGGCAAAAUGUCACUUUUGAAAUUGUACUGCACUCUCUGGCAAAGCCCAGUUUUUAAAACAUUUCCAUGUGUCUGUAAAUAGCACAAAAAAGAUAGUUAGUACUGACAUAUUUGUAUCUCCUUAUGGAGCAAAGUCUGUUAUUUGGAAGUUUUUACCAUUGAAACUAUAUUUCAGUAAAGAUGGAGAGAACAGUAAUUCUAAAAAUAUGACAGAGGAACAAGAAGAAGGGAACUCUCAGAUGUUUAAACCCGCUCUGGCAAUAACAAUGUGAAACAUCACAAGCACACUUCAGUCACUCAAGAGGGAAGGCCAUCACUGCUGGAUGGUGGAAAUACUGAAUUUCAGAUGGAGAUUACACACGUGAUGAAGAAAAAAUUCAGAUAGCAAAGCUAUUUCCAGGGUGUAUGCAAAAACCUUUAUAAUUACCACAUGUAACUAAUGAUCAGAAGUUAACCACAAGGAAUUAAAUAACUGCAGAGGAGAAUUCAGGUGCCAUCUUCACCUCAUCUGCUCAAAAAUAAAAGACAUAUAUUUCCCUAAAAGGCUUAUCCU